UAAGACGAAGGUGGCUAGCGUUAUUCGGAUUUACUGGGCAUAAAGCGCGCGUAGGCGGCUUGGCAAGUCGGAGGUGAAAGCCUGCAGCUCAACUGCGGUGUGCCUCCGAAACUGCCGAGCUUGAGUGCGGGAGGGGUGAUUGGAACUCCAGGUGUAGCGGUGAAAUGCGUAGAUAUCUGGAGGAACACCAGAGGCGAAGGCGAAUCACUGGACCGCAACUGACGCUGAGGCGCGAAAGCUAGGGGAGCAAACAGGAUUAGAUACCCUGGUAGUCCUAGCUGUAAACGAUGGGCACUAGGCAGUGGAGAUCCGAUGUCGUCACUGUCGAAACAAAUGCGAUAAGUGCCCCGCCUGGGGAGUACGGCCGCAAGGCUG
rnacentral:rRNA from 1 species